UACCGGUGGAUCAGCGGCCGCCACCUCACCCCUCCUGCUGCUGUGGAUGUGGAUCGCCAUGACGUCACCCGGCGCUCCCCUCCGCCGUGUUUUUGUUGAUGAACCAAAUCCUCCCGAAUCAGCUGAGACAAAACUCAGGACACUUCUGGCUGUGCUCCACAGCGGGAACUGUGUUGUUGCUGGCUUUGUCGUCCUCUCUGUGUUUGGAUUCGUGCCUCAGAAUCAGGGUGUCCGGGUCUGGCCUUCAUCGCUCACCCUCAGGCCACAGCACAGUUCUGGACCGGCUGCUUCUUCUUGAUGCUCAUUCCGCUCAGCCUUGACACACAUUUUGUGGGAGUUGAGAGUUUCGUCAUCUCUGUGAGAGACCUGUUCCAGAGAUGUUUUUCCUCCUCAUCUGUCUGCUCUUCCUCCUCAUAUAUUUGACCUUAUAAGCCAAAUAAGGACGCAACAUGUUUUAAGAAUGGCUGCUCCCCUGUCUUGUGAUGUAGGGAGGGAUCUACAUAUUCAUCUCAUGCAUUGUUAUGACUUUACCAGAGGUCAUGACUUCAUGUGAGUGCCUGGCUCUGGCCUGGAUUCAGUCAGAAACAAUGGUCCUAAUAGGAUCUGACUAUCAACUACUUAUUACCUAUAGUACCUGAUGCUGAGCCUUCAUUGUAAUUUAUACAUGUACUUAUAGAAGUUGCCCUUUAUCACCAAUGUAGUUAUUGCAGACAGUGAAAUGAUCAGUCAAAUAUCAGCUUUAUUGGGAUCUUGUAUUUAAAGAAUAAAACCAGCUUAGUCCCAUUUGCUACACUUUGUAAUUCUUUACAGUAUGUUUG